GCCUUAAUGCAGCCACCGCAGGGUGAUGGUCACAAGCCCAUAAAAUGCAGAGUGAGGC
rnacentral:ribozyme from 2 species